rnacentral:lncRNA from 1 species
UACUCCACUCUACAGCAAGGCAAUGAACAGCGUCGUGCACACACGGCAAGGAUGACUCUCACAGCAUGAGUCUGUGUGCAAGAGGCCAGAGCCUGGGAGGCUCCGUUUACGAUGACUCAGAGACCACAACCUUGGAAACUAGCCUGGGGCAUUUGGAGCUGGGCUGGCCACCCUUGGGAGAAGAGGGAGGGCCUGGAAGCAGAAAGAGAAAAUCACCUUCUACCUACCGUGUCGUCACAGGAGGCAAUACAUGCUGAAGCCACACUGUGGGGGUCCCUCGCUGAACCCCCCAGCCAAGCCACUCACCUCCCCAGUUGCUGACGUGUGGGCAACAGUAGGAACUCCGUAGCUGUGAGCUCUUUAACUUGCUUUUUUCACUGAAUCUAAUGCAAACAUCUUUCCAAACCAAGAACUAACACUUGUGCCUUACAUACAAGGGAACCGUAAAUACAGGGCAAUGUCCAACUGGAUCCUCCAAAAUGUUUUUUAUCCAUCUUGAAGAUGUAAAUGUUUUGAUUGUGGAUGGAAAAGUCACAAGAGUGCUUAUAAAAUGUAAUUCAUUGAUUAAAUUAGAAAUGCAUUUUGAAAUCAAAAGUGAGAUAAGAUAGGAUGUGUGGUAGAGACUAGCCAGUUGUUCAUCAAAUUGCUUCCUCUUAUUCCUAACAAUACAGGUUGCCUCCAUUUCCAAGCCUCCCUUGCAGUUAGGACAGUCACAUGACAGAGUCUGUCCAGUGAGAUUGGGACAUAAUGGCAGGCACUGCUUCCAUAUGCCUGGCCUUGGAAACUCCCCACACCCAGCCUUCCCAAGCCUUCACCAUCUGCUGGCUGGAUGGCAGGAAUCCUCCCCAGACACGAGCCUAGGUGAUGGUGAAUCCACCACAAGGAGAGGGCCUGGGCCCUGAGUCACCAUGUGGAAGACCACCCACACACACCCAAGUAGAACUUGUGUGAAGAAGAAGCCCAUAGCGUCACCUCUCGUAAAUGUCUGGGUUGACGGUGCAGCGGUUGACUCACCCUCAUGCAAUGCAUUGAUUUAGAAGACAUGCUUCUUCUGCGUCACAUUCGGGUCCCUUUACUCCCAUCCAUCACCUGUGUCAUCAACAUUGGUGUCAUUAUCUUCAAGAGCCACUUCUUGAGUCUUCCAGCUCUGUUUUCCGAAGCACAUCAUCUUCUUUUCGCUUCUGAGUUCUUUGAGAUUUUAAUCCACUCGGGGCAUUGUUGAGGGUCAUUUUGUCAAGACACAACUCUCUGCCAGGCACGGGGCCUCACACCUGUAAUCCCAGCACUUUGGGAGGCCGAGGUGGGCAGAUCAUGUGAGCCC